rnacentral:misc_RNA from 1 species
AUCUGCUUUGAAUUUCCGAUAAACGAUUGCCGCGUGAUAAUUGGAACAUCACUUAAUUGAAUCGUCUGCCACAAAUACGUGGUCAAUGACGAGGCAACAAAUUCGACGGAUUAAUUCAUCAUCAAUUUGUAGUCCCAAAAUCGAAGGGUCAUUCAUUGAUUCAUUCAUUGGUUCGUUCCUGUUCAGGUUACGAACCCAGAGAGAAAGAAAAACGGGCCUCUCAAAGUAUCCACGGAACACUACUUUAUAGUUGAAUAAUCCGAUUGAAGGGAUUUAUAAAAGAUCACAUCGAUCUCGUACGCCCGGGAAUUGAUCAUUCUCCGUUUGAAUUAUUUCGAUAAAGAUUUACGAUGUGUACGGUAAACCAGCGACAAUUGCUCGAAGACGUUCCCCCGAAUGGGGGAAAAAAUCU